rnacentral:lncRNA from 1 species
UUUGAAACUAUGAUCUGGUUUCGUGUUUAUCUAAAAGAUGUGUGUGGAGUGUGGAGAGAAAGAGAAAGAGAAAAAAAUUUAAGAAUAAGAUGGGUGUAUUAUUUGGUGUUGUUGAAAAGUCAAAGAAAGAAGAAAGAAAAGGAAAUUAAUGAUUUUCAUGGUUACAAAGUAGGCAUAAUAAAUAGAGUUUAAUUGUUGUGCACCGUCGGUGUAAAUUAUUUUUACACAUACAUUCAAUGACGCGUUGCCACGUCAUUUAAUGAAUGUGACACAUCAUGUGUUUUUAAUGACCAUACAUGAUGUGUCGGUUUUUUAUUGGACGCAUGUGCAAAAUAACUUUACACCGACGGUGCAUAUAAAUUAAAUUCUAAUAAAUAAGGGGUUGAAAAGGAAAG